rnacentral:rRNA from 1 species
ACGCUUCCGCGCGCCGCCUCCGGUGCAAGUCCCCCUGACCGGGGCUGUCACCCCGAGAGGGUGCAAGGCCCGUAGCGGCCGGAGGUUGUUCGGCGCCGGAUGUCCUCUCCCGGGAGUCGGGUUGCUUGAGAGUGCAGCCCCAAUCGGGUGGUAAACUCCAUCUAAGGCUAAAUACGACCUGGAGACCGAUAGCGAACAAGUACCGUGAGGGAAAGUUGAAAAGGACUUUGAAGAGAGAGUUCAAGAGUACGUGAAACCGUUCGGAGGUAAACGAGUGGGCCCUCGAAGUGCGAAGGCGGGGGGACUCAGCCGAACGCCGUCGAGCCCGCCGGCCCCUUUCCGCGCUUCCCCUCCGGGACGCGGGGGGCCGGUGCGCUGGCUCCGGCUUGCGGCGCAUUUCCUCCCGUCCUCCGACGCCGCGACCGGUCGGGCGCGCCACGAGCGGUCGGCCUUACUCGCGGGAAACGGAAGGUAGCCGGGCCGGCGCCCACACGGGUGCCCGGUUCCCGGUGUUUAGCCGUCCCGCAAUCGAGUUAGCCGUUCGCCCGACCGCAGGACCAGAGGCCCUCAGGGGCCCCGCCGUGCUCUUCCCCCCUCCACGGGGUGGGAUCGACUUUCCGCUCCGGAAGGGAUGCCGUUCUUUUUGCCUGCGUUGCACCCUGCGGUGCGCGCGGGAAGACGGCGCCCGCUGGCCGGGGCGGUCUCGAGCGAGCGCAGGCGGUCCGCGGCGAGUAGGUCGGUCACCCACUCGACCCGUCUUGAAACACGGACCAAGGAGUUUAACAUGCACGCGAGUCACUGGGUCGUGAGCAGGCCCAAGGGCGCAAUGAAAGUGAAGGACGGUUCCACGCCGUCCGCGUUGGGAUCCGCCGGCCUCCGCGCCGGCGGCGCACCAACGGCUCGUCCGGGCCGCCACGU